rnacentral:rRNA from 1 species
UAGCAGGGGUGCAACGUUGCUCGGAAUCAUUGGGCGUAAAGCGCACGUAGGCGGUUCGUUAUGUCGGAUGUGAAGCCUUGGCUUAACCGAGGAAGUGCAUCCGAAACUGGCGAGCUAGAGUACGAAAGAGGAGUCGCGGAAUUCCCGGUGUAGAGGUGAAAUUCGUAGAUAUCGGGAGGAACACCGGUGGCGAAGGCGGCGAUCUGGGUCGAUACUGACGCUGAGGUGCGAAAGCGUGGGGAGCA